rnacentral:rRNA from 1 species
GAUGAACGCUGGCGGCGUGCCUAAUACAUGCAAGUCGAGCGAACAGACGAGGAGCUUGCUCCUCUGACGUUAGCCGCGGACGGGUGAGUAACACGUGGAUAACCUACCUAUAAGACUGGGAUAACUUCGGGAAACCGGCGCUAAUACCGGAUAAUAUAUUGAACCGCAUGGUUCAAUAGUGAAAGACGGUUUUGCUGUCACUUAUAGAUGGAUCCGCGCCGCAUUAGCUAGUUGGUAAGGUAACGGCUUACCAAGGCAACGAUGCGUAGCCGACCUGAGAGGGGGAUCGGCCACCCUGGAGCGGGGACACGGACCAGACUCCUACGGGAGGCAGCAGUAGGGAAUCUGCCGCAAUGGGCGAAAGCCUGACGGAGCAACGCCGCGUGAGUGAUGAAGGUCUUCGGAUCGUAAAACUCUGUUAUUAGGGAAGAACAAAUGUGUAAGUAACUAUGCACGUCUUGACGGUACCUAAUCAGAAAGCCACGGCUAACUACGUG